rnacentral:rRNA from 1 species
CCUACGGGGAGCAGCAGUGAGGAAUAUUGGUCAAUGGACGAGAGUCUGAACCAGCCAAGUAGCGUGAAGGAUGACUGCCCUAUGGUUUGUAAACUUCUUUUAUAAAGGAAUAAAACGAGGCACGUGUGCCUUUUUGCAUGUACUUUAUGAAUAAGGAUCGGCUAACUCCGUGCCAGCAGCCGCGGUAAUACGGAGGAUCCGAGCUUUAUCCGGAUUUAUUGGGUUUAAAGGGAGCGUAGAUGGGUUGUUAAGUCAGUUGUGAAAGUUUGCGGCUCAACCGUAAAAUUGCAAUUGAUACUGGCAGUCGUGAGUACAGUUGAGGUAGGCGGAAUUCGUGGUGUAGCGGUGAAAUGCUUAGAUAUCACGAAGAACCCCGAUUGCGAAGGCAGCUUACUAAACUGUGACUGACAUUGAUGCUCGAAAGUGUGGGUAUCAAACAGGAUUAGAUACCCGUGUAGUC